UAGUCUGGUGCCAGCAGCCGCGGUAAUACGGAGGAUGCAAGCGUUAUCCGGAAUCAUUGGGCGUAAAGCGUCCGCAGGUGGUUUCCAAAGUCUGCUGUUAAAGACUGGAGCUCAACUCCGGAACGGCGGUGGAAACUUGGAAACUAGAGUUCGGUAGGGGUAGCAGGAAUUCCCAGUGUAGCGGUGAAAUGCGUAGAUAUUGGGAAGAACAUCGGUGGCGAAGGCGUGCUACUGGACCGUAACUGACACUCAGGGACGAAAGCUAGGGGAGCGAAAGGGAUUAGAUACCCCUGUAGUCCUAGCUGUAAACGAUGGAAACUAGGUGUGGCUUGUAUCGACCCGAGCCGUGCCGUAGCUAACGCGUUAAGUUUCCCGCCUGGGGAGUACGCACGCAAGUGUGAAACUCAAAGGAAUUGACGGGGGCCCGCACAAGCGGUGGAGUAUGUGGUUUAAUUCGAUGCAACGCGAAGAACCUUACCAGGGCUUGACAUGUCGCGAAUCUCGGUGAAAGCUGAGAGUGCCUUCGGGAGCGCGAACGCAGGUGGUGCAUGGCCGUUCUU
rnacentral:rRNA from 1 species